GACAGAGGAUGCAAGCGUUAUCCGGAAUGAUUGGGCGUAAAGCGUCUGUAGGUGGCUUUUUAAGUCCGCCGUCAAAUCCCAGGGCUCAACCCUGGACAGGCGGUGGAAACUACCAAGCUGGAGUACGGUAGGGGCAGAGGGAAUUUCCGGUGGAGCGGUGAAAUGCGGUAGAUAUCGGGGAAGAACACCAAAGGCGAAAGCGCUCUGCUGGGCCGAAACUGACACUGAGAGACGGAAAGCUAGGG
rnacentral:rRNA from 1 species